rnacentral:rRNA from 1 species
UACGAGGGGUGCAAGCGUUGCUCGGAAUUAUUGGGCGUAAAGGGUUGGUAGGUGGUCUUGUUUGUCUAAGGUGAAAUCCCAUGGCUUAACUGUGGAAGUGCCUUAGAAACGGCAAGACCAGAGUCCUAGAGGGGUUUGUGGAAUUCCCGGUGUAGCGGUGAAAUGCGUAGAGAUCGGGAGGAACACCAGCGGCGAAGGCGGCAAACUGGAUAGGCACUGACACUCAACAACGAAAGCGUGGGGAGCAAACAGG